rnacentral:ribozyme from 1 species
GGAAGGAAAGAAAAAGAAAAAGAAAAAGAAAAAACAAUAU